CGAGAGUUCGAGCCUCUCUCACCCCAUACUUUUUUCUUUCUUGCAAAAUUCUUUUGCUUCCAAUCCCAUUGCCUGGCCGUACCACUUGCCUUGCAAACUGUCCUUGGUCCAAACCCGGUUCACCUUACGAUUUUGGUGCCGACCGUACCACGUCGUAGUUCCAUUGUUAUGCAUAUUAAUUUUUCGUUAAUCAAACCCUGAUUUCGCAAUCCUCUGUGAAGUCGAAACAAUUUUGAUUCAUUUACUAUCAGUGAAUUGCAAUAUUCGUAAGCGAUUAUGUAUUUCAUGUAAGCACAUAUUUAAUUUUUUUGCAGAUAUCAAGAACGAGAACAACCGGGCGUCAGUGCGAUUGAGGAAGAAGUACACCUCUCAGGGCAUAUCUCAGCGGCACAAAGGAUAAGGUCAGGUAUACUCAGUACAUGAAGAUUCGAUUACUGAAACAUGGAUCGAAACUCUUUGUACACAGAUGAUUCUUGUUCCCUGGCUCGCUGGACACAUCUACGAUUAAUCUCUCACGAUGAUCCAGGGAUGGGGUGGUGGGGGAUUGUUAAGGUUGGGUUUCAAGAAGUACAAGAUGAUUAGGAACGUAAAGGAGCACCGGAGGAAGAAGCCAAAGGAGGCCAAGAAGCCCAGGUAUACCAAAUGGCUGGCUUUUCAAGAACAAUUAUUCACCGCAUAAGAGCGUCACUCCCCAGUUUCUUGUCUCCAUUACUGUUGUGCCGAUUGUCUCCAUCAUCGCAUUUUUUCCUCUCCAUCGCUAACAUGACCAGUUUGUGCGAUUCCAUUAUACCUUUUGUACUUGUUUUGUGUAUUAUUUUGUUUGGUGGCGCAUUUUUGGAGCAAGAAAUAAGUGUAGAAAAAUGGAGCAUUAUUUAACAAAAUCAGGGUAAAAUGGCAUUACUGCCAUACUAGUUGAUUCGUGAGCCGUUAUAUUCAAGUUGUUUGCCAUUAUGAUUGAAAAUAUAACUUAUUGCAUGUGGAAUGUUUUACUAAGCUGUGAUGAAGAUGUGUUUUGUUGGGUGGUAUUUGUGUAAAAAUUUCACCUUUUUGUGCCAAACUACCUUUUAUACCUCUUAUUUGUAUUUAUGUGUUUCGAACAUUUCUGUUUAAGGUGCCUUUUGGGAGCAAGAAAUAAUUGUGAAAAAAUUGAGUCUUUAUUUGCAGAAGCAUUUGUUUAGUUGUUUGAAGUUAUGGCUGAAUUUGUAACUUAUCGUGUUUGAAUUAUCGACGAGGCUUUUUAGCAAGAAUUGAUCACAUUGAUGAUGAAGCUAUCCUAGAUCAGGAUAAGAUGGAGCAGAUUGAGGACGAUGAUGGACCAUCUGUUUUUUUCCCCAACAUGUUCAGCCAUCUCAUGGACCAUCAGCCUCUCAUGACAAGAUCUUGCUGAUGUGAUGAAAAGAAAUGAGAGAAAUGGAGGGGAGGUUGCAAGGUGAGAUAUCACAUCACUUUGGGUGGAUGGAAAAAAAUAGACACUUAUAUCGAAUUGGCCAAAAGAAGAAAAUUUUGACUCUUUUUCCAGAAUCACAACUACCCAUUGCAAAAAAAUCGGUUCUGAGUAAAUACUCUUUCAACCACAAAGAAGUUUAUUUGAUCCUGCAGCUUAUCCCGAUGGGAGAUAGUCGUGGCUGAUGUACGGGAUGAGGGUACAACUUCUUUUAUCUGUUUACUGAGUACACGUUCCAUAUUCAUGUGGGUCCCCUAAUUUCAAAGUUUGAUUGUAGAUAAAAAAUAUAUUACUGUGGUGGUUAUUGGCCUGCCUAACAUUGGUAAUAGUCUAAUAAAUAGCUUGAAAGAUCUCUUGUUGUCAAUGUUUGUGUUACUCCUAGUUUGACAAGCUCUAUGCAAGAAGUUCAGCUAGAUAUUUAUGUUAAAUUGUUGGACUGACCAGGUGUUGUGAUGCUUAAAUCUUGUGCAGAAUGAUGCAUCCAAUGCUCUUCAAAAUUGCAAGAGAAUUGAAUAAUUAGAUGAUUGCAGUUGGUUCUGUUAAUUGGACUUGAUUGUUUGUCUUUCCUUUUUUGUUACCAUUGUACCGUCAUAAGGUAGAUUUUGAAUUGCCUGAUUAUGAGCUGUGCAGUAAAGGAAAUUCUGAAGCUUUGUCCUGCCUGAACAUUGGUAACAUUAUACAAGGUCUCAAGCUUUGAUACUGUUGACUUUCUUCAGAAGGUAAUCAGGGGUAAGAUCAAACUAGUUCAUGGAUCCCUAUAUUUUAUCUUAUACUGUUCUCUGGAUGCAAGCAUACUGCACCCGCAGGAUGGCGCGCAGCCAACAGUUUUGAACGAAGGUAAGGAAUCUGGAGACAAUUGAGUUGAGUGGUAACAACUAGUCCAUAGGAUCUGAAGAAAAGAAUGCCGAGCCAGAAAAGGACAAAUUUACUAAUAGCAGACGAACUGAGAAGCUAUGCUAAGGUACCCAUGCUAAACGCCAAGUUGAGAAAGCAAAGCAGACAGAAAAGGAAAAUCAAUCAUCUGCAAUGGAAGAUGAUAUUGAUAUGGAUGGUGAUUAUGAUUUUGAGGUAGUCUACAUCAGGUGACUGUGUGCCGUGGACACUGGCGAUGAAGAUGGGGGGAGUCAUGGAAGUGUUUUGAGCAUAAGCGAUCUUCCCUUAUAUUCAACCCUGCGCAAAGAGGGAACAUCUAUCUGUGGAAGGGACUUCAUUCAAGGUUGAUGUAAAUAUAAAGAAUAGGGGGCAUCUUUUUUAUUUUUAUUUUUAUUUUUAUUUUUUUCAUAGGUACAUUUACUAAAAAUAAUUGUCAAUAUUUUUCUUUGUGAAUUUUGACCGCAU
rnacentral:lncRNA from 1 species